AUUGAACGCUGGCGGAAUGCUUUACACAUGCAAGUCGAACGGCAGCACGGACUUCGGUCUGGUGGCGAGUGGCGAACGGGUGAGUAACAUAUCGGAACGUAUCCAAUAAUGGGGGAUAACUAAUCGAAAGGUUGGCUAAUACCGCAUACGCCCUAUGGGGGAAAGCUAGGGACCUUCGGGCCUGGCGUUAAUGGAGCGGCCGAUAUCUGAUUAGCUAGUUGGUGGGGUAAAGGCCAACCAAGGCGACGAUCAGUAGCUGGUCUGAGAGGACGACCAGCCACACUGGAACUGAGCCACGGUCCAGGCUCCUACGGGAGGCAGCAGUGGGGAAUGUUGGACAAUGGGCGCAAGCCUGAUCCAGCCAUUCCGCGUGAGUGAAGAAGGCCUUCGGGUUGUAAAGCUCUUUCGCAAGAGAAGAAAACUUAGCCACUAACAUUGGCUGAGGUUGACGGUACCUUGAUAAGAAGCACCGGCUAACUACGUGCCAGCCGCCGCCGUAACAC
rnacentral:rRNA from 1 species